rnacentral:rRNA from 1 species
AACGAACGCUGGCGGCAUGCCUAACACAUGCAAGUCGAACGAGACCUUCGGGUCUAGUGGCGCACGGGUGCGUAACGCGUGGGAACCUGCCCUUAGGUUCGGAAUAACUCCCCGAAAGGGGUGCUAAUACCGGAUAAUGUCUUCGGACCAAAGAUUUAUCGCCUUUGGAUGGGCCCGCGUUGGAUUAGCUAGUUGGUAGGGUAAAAGCCUACCAAGGCGACGAUCCAUAGCUGGUCUGAGAGGAUGAUCAGCCACACUGGGACUGAGACACGGCCCAGACUCCUACGGGAAGCAGCAGUGGGGAAUAUUGGACAAUGGGCGAAAGCCUGAUCCAGCAAUGCCGCGUGAGUGAUGAAGGCCUUAGGGUUGUAAAGCUCUUUUACCCGGGAUGAUAAUGACAGUACCGAGAGAAUAAGCUCCGGCUAACUCCGUG